AUGAGGUCACCGACCCCGCCCGGCGCGGCCAAUGGCGCGCCCACUUGCACGCGGGCGGAGGGAAGGGGGCCGUGUCCAGAGACAAUGAGCGGGGUGUCCAGGCUGGGCGUCCCGGGGCCGCUGGGACGAAGGGGGUCGUCAGGCCCGUCCGGGGCCCCGGGAGGCGACUCUCCCACCCGCCCGCCGCCGCCUCCGCGGAAGGGCCUGCGAGGAAGCUGGGCAGGCGGUGGGCGCGGCCUCCCGGGCUCCCCGGGCGCCUGCGGCGGGGCCUCGGGUACUGGGGCGCGCAGGACCUUCGGCCCCCUCGGCCGCCUCGGCCCCCUCGCCCCGCUCGGCCGGCGCCGCGCACUCACUUACCCACCACGCGUCGGAGUUCGGGCCUGGGCGGCGGCGGCGGCGGCGGCGGCUGCGGGGGCGGCUCCCAGCGCGGAGAAUGCGCAGCCCGGGGCCUGCGAGGAGACGCCCCGCCCCGGCCCCGCCCCAGGUCUCAGGCCCCGCCCCUUCCCCGUCCCCGGUCCCGCCCCAGGCCUCAGGCCCCGCCCCUUCCCAUCCCCGGCCCCGCCCCAGCCCGCAGGCCCCGCCCGCGGUGGCAGAAGCCCGGCAAGUCUGAACCCGCGUGGCGAGCGGCAGCCGGUGGGUGCAGGCGCUGGGGGUCGACCCCGCACUGCGGGGGCCGGGCGAGCUGCAGCCCUGAGGGCGCCAACAGCCCAUCAAGGGUCCACCCUAGCCAGGGACGGAGGAGCUGAGCGGGAGGCGGGCCCGGAGUUAUGGCGGCGACCAGUGCAGCCAGAGGCCCCACGCUGUGGCGGCCGGGCCCAACCCCAUCUCUUUCUCCGCACCCUGGAACCGCCCAGAGGCUUCAGGGGUCGGCAGAACGGUUGCCGGCCUGGGGUAGGGGAGGGCCUGGCGCUGUGGGCAGAUGCAGGAGAGACACUAGGCUGCGGAGACCCGGGCAGGCCUGGGGUCGCAGCCAGAGAUACUGGCAGGGGCCACUGGGAGUGGUGCGAGCAGGUGAGGGAGGAAGGGCAGGACCGGCCUAGGGCGGCACCAGGAAGCCAAGAGUGGGAGUGA
rnacentral:lncRNA from 13 species